rnacentral:rRNA from 1 species
UACGGAGGAGGCAAGCGUUAUCCGGAAUUAUUGGGCGUAAAGCGUCCGCAGGUGGCACUUCAAGUCUGUCGUCAAAGACUGGGGCUUAACCCUGGAAAGGCGGUGGAAACUGUAGCGCUAGAGUGUGGUAGGGGUAGAGGGAAUUCCCGGUGUAGCGGUGAAAUGCGUAGAGAUCGGGAAGAACAUCGGUGGCGAAGGCGCUCUACUGGACCACAACUGACACUCAGGGACGAAAGCUAGGGGAGCGAAUGGG